AACUAGUAUUUAUUACUUUUAUUCUCAUCACUUUAAAACAUGUACUUAUGACUUGCUGUUAUUUUUUUUUUCAUGGCAGGAAUGGGCUUCCAUACAGAUUUCCAAGGCUGUCAUUAAAAGUCUGCCAACGUUUUCAUCAAUAAAAGUGACAUGAAGCAGCAGAAAGUGAGAAGACGGAGUCAGGGCGAGUCGUCUGGGCUGAUCUGUGGCCUGCGGCGAAUUUAACGAGCAGAGACUCGAUGGAGAGAAACAAUCCAGAGGAAGAAGCACUUCAGAGGAGGCAGACGAGGCAGGAAGUGCGGCACACAGUUUCCUGCCUGACCUUUUCAGCGGAUCAAUAAGUCAUGAGGCCGUCAGGAGUUCUGACAGCUUCAGCGGCGAUGAACAAGCUGAGAGAGACGGAGCUGCUGCUAAAUAAUGAAUGAGUUGUUUACUGUCUAACAGGUCUGGACGGCUUCAGGCCGCAGACACAGACGGCUUCUUCUGUAAAUGCUAACCAGGCGGUUAGCAUCAUCUGCUACUGACUGGGUCCAAACAUCUCACCGAACCGAACCAGAGACGUUUCAACUGGAUUAAAUUUAACAGCAGCAGCAGAAUUUCACUGCUGCGUUUCAGAUGGAAGCAGAAGAAAAGUUCAGGUUUUACAGCCGAAAGGAGAGAAAAGAGGUUCGGUUCAGUGAGGUCCAGUUAGAUUCUGGUGGAUCCACUGAACCAGGGAGGAGUUCUCACUCUAAGAGAAAAACCCAGACUUCCCUGGACAGGUAUGGAAGACCAUUUCUGCCAUGAAAGGA